CACGUAGGUGGCAAGCGUUAUCCGGAAUUAUUGGGCGUAAAGCGCUCGCAGGCGGUUUCUUAAGUCUGAUGUGAAAGCCCACGGCUCAACCGUGGAGGGUCAUUGGAAACUGGGAAACUUGAGUGCAGAAGAGGAGAGUGGAAUUCCACGUGUAGCGGUGAAAUGCGUAGAGAUGUGGAGGAACACCAGUGGCGAAGGCGACUCUCUGGGCUGUAACUGACGCUGAGACGCGAAAGCGUGGGGAGCGAACAGG
rnacentral:rRNA from 1 species